CAGUGUCCGUGACGUCACGGACCCUGAGGCCAGUGAUAGAACUAAUCCCAGUGGCUGGACGACAAUGGUAUAAAAGCAAGCAGUUACACGGCUCCACCUCGAUUCAUCGACUGACCGAUCACACUGACAAGCGAGGACACAGCAGCCCGGAGUAAUUACCUCAGUCACAAGAGAGUUCCACAUACUCAGGCAUGAGACAAACGGUGUGCCAUCUCGUCAUGGUUGCUCUGGCAGCAAUGUGUGUGAUAGCUGUUGCCGCCGUCGCUGGGAAAGAAACUAUGGAGCCAUCAGUGCGACAGGACAGUCAGACAGGAGGUCGCUUGUCCUUCCUCCUGUCAAAGCGUUCCAGCGGUCUUUCUUUACUCGCUCCGCCAAGCCGCUACUCCCCUUACUUAAAACCCAUUACCGCCAAAAGAGACAACGGAUACUGGGUGUGGAUGCCAGCCCACGGAUACAUGACAGUACCCCAGGACGAGGCUUCGGAAGGAGCUGAGAGCAAGGAUGGAGUCAGCAACCUCCUCCGUUAUGGCUAAGAAAUAAUACAGUCACAACUCCUUGAAUGUUCAGAGUUUAUUGAAGAUGCCUUCAGCGUGGAUUUGACUUUCUUCAAAAUCAACAAAUAAUAUUUAGACAGGGUCUAUUUUUGUAAUUCAAUGCAUGCACUAAAAUAGUAACGCUUACCUAAAGACUAGUUGUAGUACCUUCCUAACAAUGUGCAGUUGUACUUCCCUACUGAUUGGCAGUAGUACUUCCCUAAAGACUGGCAGUAGCGCCUUACUAAAGACUUUCCUAUUAUGGUUAAAACAAGAAGACAGAUCUAAGGAACUGAUUGGACAACACUGAAGCUCUGAUCCUGUACAUAUCCUUCCACUGACGGGUCUACUUUCACUUGUGCUGGGUGUGGGGGUCCAUGCUUGAGGCAACGCAACUACUGAUCGUUACAAAAUCAAACGAUGGGCGGCAGAUGAGGGGACUUAGGAACAUUGUACAAUAAAUGGGUAUCCUUAAA